AUCGCUUCUCGGCCUUUUGGCUAAGAUCAAGUGUAGUAUCUGUUCUUAUCAGUUUAAUAUCUGAUACGUCCUCUAUCCGAGGACAAUAUAUUAAAUGGAUUUUUGGAGCCGGGAGUUGGAAUAGGAGCUUGCUCCGUCCACUCCGCGCAUCGACCCGGUAUUGCACGGUGCACCCCCU
ensembl:snRNA U2 U2 spliceosomal RNA